AAAACCUCCCGUUCAAAACACCCUCGGUGAGCACAUCAACAGCCUCCCACGGUCUCUCUCCGUUCGCUCUAUACCAAUACACGCACACGCGUACGCGCAAACCAUCUUGCUGCGUCCACCAGCGCCGCUACCUCCUCCCGCACGCACGCAUCAUGUUCCAGCGGAUGCACAGCCGCGUCGGCGCCACGGCGCUAGCGUCGGCCUUGCGCAUGCAGCAGAACCGGCUGAGUAGUUGCCCUGCCCCAAGCCUUUCCGCGGCAUCGGCGUGUCGCAACCUGCCGUGCGGGGCGUCCACCGCACCGGCAGCAACGGCCGCCUCCUUCGCCCUCCAGAGCGUGCUCCGCGGCUACACCACGGCGACCCGCGCACAGCAGAUGCGCGUGCAAGGCCGCGACAGCAUCCAAAGCCAGAAUACCCCUAUGAACUGGUCAGGCAGCAGCGGUGGCAGCCAGGCAGACAGCCUCACGCCGUUUGUGCGCCAGCAUCUCGCCCGCGUGUACACUCUCCUCGGCUGUGCAUGUCUGACGGCCGGGCUCGGAAGCUUCCUGAUGGUGGCCACGCCGAUGGGACGUGCCAUCCCGUACUGGCUCCCGAUGGUCGGCGGCUUCGUGCCGCUGCUUUGGCUGUCCUUUGCCCCGCCGGCGAACCCGUCGCUGAAGUUGUGCCUCUUCUUUUCCUUUGCGCUCUUGGAGGGCAUGGCGAUUGCCCCGCUCGUGCUCAUGACGAGCAUGAAGGGUGUGCUCACCACGUCGAUUCUGCUGACCGCUGCCGUCUUUGGCGGCUUCAGCGCGGCGGCGUACCUGGCACCGCGUGCCUCCAUGGUAGCGUGGCAGGGCCCGCUAUUUGGUGCACUGAUCGGCAUGGUCGCAAUAUCCCUGCUGAACGUUUUUUACCCCACCGCCUUUGCGCACUCGCUUAUUCUCUACGGCGGUCUUGCCAUCUUUUCAGUCAUGGUGGCAGUGGACACACAGGCCAUGAUUGAGCGUGCUCGUUGCGGGGCUGGCGACCACGUGCAGGACGCACUGCAGAUGUUCUUGAACGUGAUCAACAUCUUUGUGCGCAUUGCGCAGAUCAUGGGCAACAUGGACCGGUAAGCGCCCGUGUGUGUACGUACACGUAAAAGAACAACACGCGUCAAUGCGGAAAGAUAACGUGCAUGCGCGGCGCAAGAGCAAGGAGCAGCAGAAGCUGAGGAAGGCGCUGUAGCAGCCAAGUGCGCCCAUACACACACCCACGACCGACAACAUACCGUGAAUACCAUGCCACUCCGACUUGUCUGUGCGCUUGAUAUCGGUGACUGAACUGUGGGUACGAGGCGGACGUGUAGGGAUGAUGUGUAUUCUGCGCCGGGGCGCCCACAGCUGGUGCUGACUCCGAAAGGGAUUCAGGGAGGCAAGACAUGUCUAUCGUACAACGCGAGCUAGUUGCUUAAGGAUCUAAUUCUUUUUCUUUCCUGGGUUGGCCAUUGAACUGAACACUGAAUGCACCCUCCCCCUCCCCUCCCAUUGCCCCUCCCUUCGCAGCAUUUUCAUCUGUCUUUGUCCUGCGUGUCUACCUGCAGUCGCUCCAGUCAUCCUCCCCUCCCCGCAGCCCAUUUUUUCUUGUGAUGCCGGGUGAGUGUUAGUGAAUUCGCGUGCGUGCGCGUGUGUGUAUCCACCCUCCCAGAGCUCCUCAACUGUAAGUAGAGGGCGUUCCUUGAGCCUUCCCUGUACCUCCUCUGUCCUUCGGGAGGGUGCGCACGCACGCGCCCAUAAACAUACACACACACAGAGAUAGAAAGGGGCCACGCGCUUCGCGUUUUGUUUCCUUUCUGUAUUGCAUCUCUCCCCCUCCGCUCCCCUCUCGCGCUGCGCGCCAGUGACGCGGGAGAGGCGGUGCACGGGGCAUUAUCUUCCACAUGAAGGAGCUUUAUCGAACGCCUCCCCCCGCCCACGCCACGCAGGUUCGUUCUACUCCGUCAUCUUUUUACUUGUCGUAAGUGUGUACAUGUGAACGUGUAGCUGUGCAUGUGUGUCUCUCAUCGAUGCCGGAUUCGCGCGUUCACCUCCGCCCCUCCCCCUCCUCAUACGCGCACGAACGUGCAUACACGGCCACCGCGCUGUGUUGUGGUGGUGGUGGCUGUUUUCUCGUAGCAGCGCAAAGGGGCUGAGGGGGAUGGGAGCGGCGGCGGUGCUUUACUUGGAUGCCACUAGGGACGCUGACGGUGGUGGCAGAGGCAGUGGUGAUGAACGCCUUCUUGUGGCACUCUUGAACUAGACG
rnacentral:misc_RNA from 1 species